UACGGAGGGUGCAAGCGUUAUCCGGAUUCACUGGGUUUAAAGGGUGCGUAGGAGGGCAGGUAAGUCAGUGGUGAAAUCUCCAAGCUUAACUUGGAACUGCCGUUGAUACUAUCUGUCUUGAAUACCGUGGAGGUGAGCGGAAUAUGUCAUGUAGCGGUGAAAUGCUUAGAUAUGACAUAGAACACCAAUUGCGAAGGCAGCUCGCUACACGAAAUAUUGACUCUGAGGCACGAAAGCGUGGGGAUCAAAACAGGA
rnacentral:rRNA from 1 species